AUCACUUCUUGGCCUUUUGGCUCAGAUCAAGUGUAGUAUCUGAUCUACAUAAACAUGACCUAAAAUUCAUGUUUAGCUCCAGUAGAUCGGGUGAAAUUAAC
rnacentral:snRNA from 1 species